CUUAUGGGUGGCGAGUGGCGGACGGGUGAGGAAUACAUCGGAAUCUACUCUUUCGUGGGGGAUAACGUAGGGAAACUUACGCUAAUACCGCAUACGACCUCAUCGGCGUGAAAGCGGAGGACCUUCGGGCUUCGCGCGAUUGAAUGAGCCGAUGUCGGAUUAGCUAGUUGGCGGGGUAAAGGCCCACCAAGGCGACGAUCCGUAGCUGGUUCUGAGAGGAAUGAUCAGCCACACUGGAACUGAGACACGGUCCAGACUCCUACGGGAGGCAGCAGUGGGGAAUAUUGGACAAUGGGCGCAAGCCUGAUCCAGCCAUGCCGCGUGGGUGAAGAAGGCCUUCGGGUUGUAAAGCCCUUUUGUUGGGAAAGAAAAGCAGUCGGUUAAUACCCGAUUGUUCUGACGGUACCCAAAGAAUAAGCACCGGCUAACUUCGUGCCAGCAGCCGCGGUAAUACGAAGGGUGCAAGCGUUACUCGGAAUUACUGGGCGUAAAGCGUGCGUAGGUGGUGGUUUAAGUCUGUUGUGAAAGCCCUGGGCUCAACCUGGGAAUUGCAGUGGACACUGGGUCACUAGAGUGUGGUAGAGGGUAGCGGAAUUCCCGGUGUAGCAGUGAAAUGCGUAGAGAUCGGGAGGAACAUCCGUGGCGAAGGCGGCUACCUGGACCAACACUGACACUGAGGCACGAAAGCGUGGGGAGCAAACAGGAUUAGAUACCCUGGUAGUCCACGCCCUAAACGAUGCGAACUGGAUGUUGGGUGCAAUUUGGCACGCAGUAUCGAAGCUAACGCGUUAAG
rnacentral:rRNA from 1 species